GGUUGGUACUGCAUUGCUACGGGAUGAGGGAGCUGCUCUGGGACAACCCCAGUCCCAGGGUGUGCUCCAAAGGAACCCGGAUACGGUCCCCGUCCGUGGCAUAAAACCACCCCAAGCAGGUGCAGGUGGAAAGGAAGAGGUGAACCACCUCCAGCCUUCCAGGAGAGCCGCAGUCAGUCCAGGGAAGCAUCCCAUAAGGCAGGAAGACGUGAGAGUGAGCAGAAGCUGCCAGGGAAGAGAGUGCAUGGAGCAUGGAUCCCGCGCCUGGGGCUCAUCUGCAGCCCCUCGCCCACCGAGGGCUCCGGGUGUCUUUGGUUUCCAUCACGGGGAUGCCAGUGGCUUUUUCUCCUCCCUCGAGCUGCAGGACGAGCUGCUAGGCUGGGAACUCGGUGUGCUGGGGCCGGAGGUGCUCAUCGGUGACAGACAGGUAGGUGGCUCGCAUGCUUGGGGAGUACGUGGGGGGGGGAGAGCCCCGGCCGAUCAGCGGCACGUUCUCGUAGCGUGGGUUCCCUCCGAAGAGCACCGCUUGGUUCAUGUACUCGGAGACUGGGGCAUUGGAGAUGGUCUGUGCCGGGGGGUGCAGGCUGCUCUGGCUGCCCAGGCUGCUGCUGUAGCUGCAGAAGCUGCGGAGCUGCCCCCGCACCGGGUGGUGGGCAGCGAUGCGCCGCGCCUGCGGGUUGAAGGGGUCCUCCUCAUCGAUGUCAUCGUAGUCC
rnacentral:lncRNA from 1 species